CCUACGGGUGGCAGCAGUGGGGAAUUUUGCGCAAUGGGCUAACGCCUGACGCAGCAACGCCGCGUGGAGGAUGAAGGUCUUUGGAUUGUAAACUCCUGUCAGCGGGGAAAAAGGGACCCGACCUAAUACGUCGGGGACUUGAUUGUACCCGCAGAGGAAGCCCCGGCUAACUCUGUGCCAGCAGCCGCGGUAAUACAGAGGGGGCAAGCGUUAUUCGGAAUUAUUGGGCGUAAAGGGCGCGUAGGCGGCUUUGCAAGUGACGGGUGAAAUCCCUCGGCUUAACCGAGGAACUGCCUGUCAAACUGCAUGGCUUGAGACCAGGAGAGGUGAGUGGAAUUCCCAGUGUAGCGGUGAAAUGCGUAGAUAUUGGGAGGAACACCAGUGGCGAAGGCGGCUCACUGGACUGGUACUGACGCUGAGGCGCGAAAGCGUGGGGAGCA
rnacentral:rRNA from 1 species